rnacentral:tRNA from 1 species
AGGGAUGUAGCUCAGUGAUAGAGUGCUUACCUGGCAUGCAUGAGGCCCUGGAUUCAAUACCCAGCACUGCAA